CACGUAGGGUCCGAGCGUUGUCCGGAAUUACUGGGCGUAAAGCGUGCGCAGGCGGUUGGGUCAGUCGCUGGUGAAAGCCCCACGCUCAACGUGGGAAUGGCCAACGAGACGGCCCGACUGGAGGCAGGGAGAGGCCGGUGGAAUUCCAGGUGUAGCGGUGAAAUGCGUAGAGAUCUGGAGGAAUACCGGUGGCGAAGGCGGCCCCUGGACAAAGACUGACGCUCAGGUGCGAAAGCGUGGGGAGCAAACAGG
rnacentral:rRNA from 1 species